rnacentral:pre_miRNA from 1 species
UCGUAUGGAUGAGCAAAGAAAGUGGUUUCUUGAGAUGCAAUCUAUUCCUCAUAAAGAUGCUGUGAA